UACGUAGGGUGCGAGCGUUAAUCGGAAUUACUGGGCGUAAAGCGUGCGCAGGCGGUUGGCAAAGUCAGCUGUGAAAGCCCCGGGCUUAACCUGGGAAUGGCGGUUGAAACUAGUCGACUAGAAUCUGGCAGAGGGGGGUGGAAUUCCACGUGUAGCAGUGAAAUGCGUAGAGAUGUAGAGGAACACCGAUGGCGAAGGCAGCCCCCUGGGCUGAGAUUGACGCUCAGGCACGAAAGCGUGGGGAGCAAACAGG
rnacentral:rRNA from 1 species